rnacentral:rRNA from 1 species
UACGAAGGGUGCAAGCGUUACUCGGAAUUACUGGGCGUAAAGCGUGCGUAGGUGGUUCGUUAAGUCUGAUGUGAAAGCCCUGGGCUCAACCUGGGAAUGGCAUUGGAUACUGGCGAUCUAGAGUGCGGUAGAGGGCAGUGGAAUUCCCGGUGUAGCAGUGAAAAUGCGUAGAGAUCGGGAGGAACAUCUGUGGCGAAGGCGGGUCUCUGGACAGUUCCUGACACUGAGACACGAAGGCCAGGGGAGCAAACGGG